rnacentral:tRNA from 1 species
GCCUGGGUGGCUCAGUUGGUUAAGCGACUGACUUCAACUCAGGUCAUGAUCUUGUGGUCUAUGAGUUCGAGCCCCAUGUCAGGCC